rnacentral:rRNA from 1 species
AUUGAACGCUGGCGGAAUGCUUUACACAUGCAAGUCGAACGGCAGCACGGGGCAACCUGGUGGCGAGUGGCGAACGGGUGAGUAAUACAUCGGAACGUGCCCCAUCGUGGGGGAUAACGUAGCGAAAGUUACGCUAAUACCGCAUACGAUCUACGGAUGAAAGCGGGGGAUCGCAAGACCUCGCGCGAAUGGAGUGGCCGAGGUACGAGUAGGUAGUUGGUAGGGUAAAGGCUAACCAAGCCAACGACCUGUAGCUGGUCUGAGAGGACGAUCAGCCACACUGGGACUGAGACACGGCCCAGACUCCUACGGGAGGCAGCAGUGGGGAAUUUUGGACAAGGGGCGCAAGCCUGAUCCAGCCAUUCCGCGUGCAGGAUGAAGGCCUUCGGGUUGUAAACUGCUUUUGUACGGAACGAAACGGUUCUCUCUAAUACAGGGGGCUAAUGACGGUACCGUAAGAAUAAGCACCGGCUAACUACGUGCCAGCCGCCGCGGUAACAC